UGGAACCCCAGUUAACCAUGGGUAACUGAAACUCUGGAGGCAGAACCAUGGGUACCACUGUAUAUGGAAGUGUUAACUUCUCACAAAUGAACUCCCACGUACUCUUUCCAUGUUUUAUAGGAUUUUUUCAAGUAGUUUCUGAAAACUUUCUAAGUAUAUUCAGAGACGCUGUGCAACCCAACCCCAGGGGGCACCGUCCACACUGCUGUCAAUGAGACUAAAGACCCCCAGUUGUCUGUAUGAUGGGUACGAGCAACUGUAAGGCCCCCAACUGCUACGUCACUGAAACCUGUGACUAGAAUCACUCAGCUUUACUGGGUCCGUCUCAACAGUCCCAAAAUGUCGACAAGAGGUCUCCAGGGGGGUGACCGAGAAGUACAUCCUAAUCGUGUAUAAGCGGCAUGUUAAUUUUUUCUCUUUACACAGAGUACACCAACUUCUUUUUUUGCCCCAAACCUCCUUUUCUCUCUUUCCUGCUUAAGGUUCUCAGAAAAAGUCAGAAACUAUAAAUGAGGUUAUUAAACUUGAA